AGUUUACUCACUUAGCCGCGUGUCCACUAUUGCUGGGUAAGAUCACAGGCGACUCAUAAUCGCUUGGUCGUUGGUUCAAACCCAACAGGGGCCACCA
rnacentral:tRNA from 1 species